UACGGAGGGUGCGAGCGUUGUCCGGAAUCACUGGGCGUAAAGGGCGCGUAGGCGGCAUGCCAAGCGUGUGGUGAAAGCCCGGGGCUCAACCCCGGGUCGGCCGUGCGGACUGGCAUGCUCGAGCACUGUAGGGGCGGGUGGAAUUCCGGGUGUAGCGGUGGAAUGCGUAGAGAUCCGGAAGAACACCGGUGGCGAAGGCGGCCCGCUGGGCAGGAAGGAAGCGUAAGCUUCCGGCUGACGCUGAGGUGCGAGAGCGUGGGGAGCGAACCGG
rnacentral:rRNA from 1 species